rnacentral:rRNA from 1 species
AUUGAACGCUGGCGGCAGGCCUAACACAUGCAAGUCGAGCGGUAGAGAGGUGCUUGCAUCUCUUGAGAGCGGCGGACGGGUGAGUAAUGCCUAGGAAUCUGCCUAGUGGUGGGGGAUAACGUUCGGAAACGGACGCUAAUACCGCAUACGUCCUACGGGAGAAAGCGGGGGGAUCUUCGGACCUCGCGCCAUUAGAUGAGCCUAGGUCGGAUUAGCUAGUUGGUGAGGUAAUGGCUCACCAAGGCGACGAUCCGUAACUGGUCUGAGAGGAUGAUCAGUCACACUGGAACUGAGACACGGUCCAGACUCCUACGGGAGGCAGCAGUGGGGAAUAUUGGACAAUGGGCGAAAGCCUGAUCCAGCCAUGCCGCGUGUGUGAAGAAGGUCUUCGGAUUGUAAAGCACUUUAAGUUGGGAGGAAGGGUAGUAACCUAAUACGUUGCUACUUUGACGUUACCGUACAGAAUAAGCACCGGCUAACUUCGUGCC